rnacentral:lncRNA from 1 species
UGUGCCUGUGUGCAUCAUUCAAAAUUAGAGAAUGUAAUUUUGAAGUAUCAAGUCUCAAUCCAAGAUUAUGAAUGAAUAAAAUAUAGAAUUACGGUGGGGGGGGGGGGGGGGGGGUAUGACCUUUAUCGGAACUCCGGGAUCGGGUGUUUUUAAGCUCGGGAUUUCGGGAUUGACCCUUUCGGGAUCCGGGAAUUCUAUUUCCGAAUUUCGGGUAGUUGGGAUUUAAAUUUUUUUUUAAUUCGGGACCUCGCCGGAUUUCGUGUUUUUAAGCCCGGGAUUUCGGGAUCUGGAUCCUUCCUUCCCUCCUCCCUCUAUUAUGGUUAAAGAAAAAAGGUCAGGGAAGUUUUGUGAUACUUGUAACUGCAAUUUAAUAUUUAGUGGAAUGAGAGGUGAAAUGUGUUCAGACUAUUACAUUUCGAUUUUUUUUUUUAAAUUUAACCAAAGUUUACUGCAAGGGGUGUUUAACGACCUCGAUGAUUAUCCAUGAGGAUCUCGCACUCGGUCAGCUCUAGGUUUUCACCUAGUUCAUGAUCAUACAAGAAUUGAGAAGCCUGUGGUUUACUAGUCUUAUAAUAUGAGACUUUGGAGUUCAUAUAAUUUACAUUCAACGUUUUUUAUCGAAUAUUUCAAGGCUUUUUGACUAUCAAUGUUGAUCCCCCUUCCAAUUGAUUGGAUAAAAUGAAUGGAUUGCCGCCCCUAUUUCUAACUGAAGACCUAUAAACUGACUGGUAUUCCAAUUUGUUAAAAGAAAUAAUUGGUAUCUCUAUUGAUUCAAUAUCGUAAUGCCGAAAAACAAUCAUUUGUUUCCACGAAUUCCGAACAGCUAGAAAUAUAUUCCCGAGUUUCAAUUUGAGUAACUCGAAUAAUUCAAGCCCUUUCCAUGUCCGAUUUUCUCCCACACGAGAAAUGUAGCAUUCGUACAUCAGCUGAAUAAAACGACUGAAUUAUUCGGGUUACAAUUUGUGUAGAUCCCGAAUGCACAUAAAAGUAAAGGUCCAGUCCGACUUUCGGAAUGGACUGUUGUAGAUUUCAGGUUGAUUUCUAGAAAUAAAAAUCAUACAAAAAUGUUUCACGCAAAUAUUUGUCUUCAGACGUGUAAAGUUAUACAACGGUUACUAGCCGGUUUGGAUUGUGAUAAAAAGAAGCGCAUGCAAUGCAUAAAAUAUAUAAUGUCGUGGCUCAGGGAUGUGUUGAAUUAUAGAAAUGCUUGUGCGGCACAAAGAUUAGAUUAAUUUACCCAAAUGUACUAAGAAUUACCACACAACUUAAAUUUACUUAAAUAUUGAUUUGUUAUCCUGUGCCAGACAGAUGGCUGAUAUUCUGAGAAGAGACCU